GAUGAACGCUGGCGGCGUGCCUAAUACAUGCAAAUCGAGCGAACGGACGAGAAGCUUGCUUUUCUGAUGUUAGCGGCGGACGGGUGAGUAACACGUGGAUAACCUACCUAUAAGACUGGGAUAACUUCGGGAAACCGGAGCUAAUACCGGAUAAUAUUUUGAACCGCAUGGUUCAAAAGUGAAAGACGGUCUUGCUGUCACUUAUAGAUGGAUCCGCGCUGCAUUAGCUAGUUGGUAAGGUAACGGCUUACCAAGGCAACGAUGCAUAGCCGACCUGAGAGGGUGAUCGGCCACACUGGAACUGAGACACGGUCCAGACUCCUACGGGAGGCAGCAGUAGGGAAUCUUCCGCAAUGGGCGAAAGCCUGACGGAGCAACGCCGCGUGAGUGAUGAAGGUCUUCGGAUCGUAAAACUCUGUUAUUAGGGAAGAACAUAUGUGUAAGUAACUGUGCACAUCUUGACGGUACCUAAUCAGGAAGCCACGGCUAACUACGUG
rnacentral:rRNA from 1 species